rnacentral:rRNA from 1 species
GGGUUGUGAGGUUAAGCGACUAAGCGUACACGGUGGAUGCCCUGGCAGUCAGAGGCGAUGAAGGGCGUGCUAAUCUGCGAUAAGCGCCGGUAAGGUGAUAUGAACCGUUAUAACCGGCGAUACCCGAAUGGGGAAACCCAGUGUGACUCGUCACACUAUCAUUAACUGAAUCCAUAGGUUAAUGAGGCGAACCGGGGGAACUGAAACAUCUAAGUACCCCGAGGAAAAGAAAUCAACCGAGAUUCCCCCAGUAGCGGCGAGCGAACGGGGAGGAGCCCAGAGCCUGAAUCAGCAUGUGUGUUAGUGGAAGCGUCUGGAAAGGCGCGCGAUACAGGGUGACAGCCCCGUACACAAAAGCGCAUGUGCUGUGAGCUCGAUGAGUAGGGCGGGACACGUGGUAUCCUGUCUGAAUAUGGGGGGACCAUCCUCCAAGGCUAAAUACUCCUGACUGACCGAUAGUGAACCAGUACCGUGAGGGAAAGGCGAAAAGAACCCCGGCGAGGGGAGUGAAAAAGAACCUGAAACCGUGUACGUACAAGCAGUGGGAGCACAGGUUUACCUGUGUGACUGCGUACCUUUUGUAUAAUGGGUCAGCGACUUAUAUUCUGUAGCAAGGUUAACCGUAUAGGGGAGCCGUAGGGAAACCGAGUCUUAACCGGGCGUUAAGUUGCAGGGUAUAGACCAGCAACCCGGGGAUCUAGCCAUGGGCAGGUGGAAGGUUGGGUAACACUAACUGGAGGACCGAACCGACUAAUGUUGAAAAAUUAGCGGAUGACCUGUGGCUGGGGGUGAAAGGCCAAUCAAACCGGGAGAUAGCUGGUUCUCCCCGAAAGCUAUUUAGGUAGCGCCUCGUGAAUUCAUCUCCGGGGGUAGAGCACUGUUUCGGCUAGGGGGCCAUCCCGGCUUACCAACCCGAUGCAAACUGCGAAUACCGGAGAAUGUUAUCACGGGAGACACACGGCGGGUGCUAACGUCCGUCGUGAAGAGGGAAACAACCCAGACCGCCAGCUAAGGUCCCAAAGUCAUGGUUAAGUGGGAAACGAUGUGGGAAGGCCCAGACAGCCAGGAUGUUGGCUUAGAAGCAGCCAUCAUUUAAAGAAAGCGUAAUAGCUCACUGGUCGAGUCGGCCUGCGCGGAAGAUGUAACGGGGCUAAACCAUGCACCGAAGCUGCGGCAGCGAACGUAUCACUUAAAGCGAUUCAGCGGGUUACGAUUGACGGAGCGAAGCGACGUCAAAGCGUAUACAAAGUCGAGUCGGUUUAAGGAUACGUUCGUUGGGUAGGGGAGCGUUCUGUAAGCCCGUGAAGGUGGCCUGUGAGGGUUGCUGGAGGUAUCAGAAGUGCGAAUGCUGACAUAAGUAACGAUAAAGCGGGUGAAAAGCCCGCUCGCCGGAAGACCAAGGGUUCCUGUCCAACGUUAAUCGGGGCAGGGUGAGUCGACCCCUAAGGCGAGGCCGAAAGGCGUAGUCGAUGGGAAACGGGUUAAUAUUCCCGUACUUGGUGUUACUGCGAAGGGGGGACGGAGAAGGCUAUGUUGGCCGGGCGACGGUUGUCCCGGUUUAAGCGUGUAGGUGUGUGUUCCAGGUAAAUCCGGUUCACUUUAACACUGAGGCGUGACGACGAGGCACUACGGUGCUGAAGCAACAAAUGCCCUGCUUCCAGGAAAAGCCUCUAAGCAUCAGGUAACAUCAAAUCGUACCCCAAACCGACACAGGUGGUCAGGUAGAGAAUACCAAGGCGCUUGAGAGAACUCGGGUGAAGGAACUAGGCAAAAUGGUGCCGUAACUUCGGGAGAAGGCACGCUGACACGUAGGUGAAGUGAUUUACUCAUGGAGCUGAAGUCAGUCGAAGAUACCAGCUGGCUGCAACUGUUUAUUAAAAACACAGCACUGUGCAAACACGAAAGUGGACGUAUACGGUGUGACGCCUGCCCGGUGCCGGAAGGUUAAUUGAUGGGGUCAGCGUAAGCGAAGCUCCUGAUCGAAGCCCCGGUAAACGGCGGCCGUAACUAUAACGGUCCUAAGGUAGCGAAAUUCCUUGUCGGGUAAGUUCCGACCUGCACGAAUGGCGUAAUGAUGGCCAGGCUGUCUCCACCCGAGACUCAGUGAAAUUGAACUCGCUGUGAAGAUGCAGUGUACCCGCGGCAAGACGGAAAGACCCCGUGAACCUUGACUAUAGCUUGACACUGAAGAGUGAGCCUUGAUGUGUAGGAUAGGUGGGAGGGUUUGAAGUGUGGACGCCAGUCUGCAUGGAGCCGCCCUUGACAUACCACCCUUUAAUGUUUGAUGUUCUAACGUGGACCCGUAAUCCGGGUUGCGGACAGUGUCUGGUGGGUAGUUUGACUGGGGCGGUCUCCUCCUAAAGAGUAACGGAGGAGCACGAAGGUUGGCUAAUCCUGGUUGGAUAUCAGGAGGUUAGUGCAAUAACAUAAGCCAGCUUGAGUUCGAGCGUGGCAUCGCGAGCAGGUGCGAAAGCAGGUCAUAGUGAUCCUGUGGUUCUGAACGGAAGGGCCAUCGCUCAACAGAUAAAAGGUACUCUGAGGAUAACAGGCUGAUACCGCCCAAGAGUUCAUAUCGACGGCGGUGUUUGGCACCUCGAUGUCGGCUCAUCACAUCCUGGGGCUGAAGUAGGUCCCAAGGGUAUGGCUGUUCGCCAUUUAAAGUGGUACGCGAGCUGGGUUUAGAACGUCGUGAGACAGUUCGGUCCCUAUCUGCCGUGGGCGCUGGAGAACUGAGGGGGGCUGCUCCUAGUACGAGAGGACCGGAGUGGACGCAUCACUGGUGUUCGGGUUGUCAUGCCAAUGGCACUGCCCGGUAGCUAAAUGCGGAAGAGAUAAGUGCUGAAAGCAUCUAAGCACGAAACUUGCCCCGAGAUGAGUUCUCCCUGAGACUUAGAGUCUCCUGAAGGAACGUUGAAGACGACGACGUUGAUAGGCCGGGUGUGUAAGCGCAGCGAUGCGUUGAGCUAACCGGUACUAAUGAACCGUGAGGCUUAACCUUACAACGCCGAAG